CCCACUUGCAUGUGGAGAGGAGCUCCAGAGGUGCCAGCGGGGCGCUGCACCAGCUCGCUGCACUCUUGCCAGCAUGAGCAUGGCCCUGGGCACGACAGGGGCGACACAAGGGCUCCCAGGGUCCCGGGGUAGCUGGGGAGAACAGGAAGCUGCCUCGGCCAGUUGACACUGCACAGGGAGGGGCUGGCGGAGGCUCAUGUGCCUGGGCAGCUUGGAAGGCAGUCCAUGGAGCUCUGACCAUUGCAGGCGGCCCCAUGCGGUGCGAAGGCUGCCAAAGCAGCAGCCUCAGGACCCAGGAGGCACAGCAGCCUGGGCCGCCCGGGGUAGGAUUCAGGGGGCCCUGGAACCGGCUCCCCACUCGCACAAGAGCCCAUGCCCACCUCAUCCCCAUCAUUGCAAGGGGUCUGCCUAGCACAGACCCUGAGGACCCCAACAGCUGCUCCCAAAAUUCAAGCGCACGCGAGUGUGGCGAUGCACACCGGUCAUCCCGUACUCGGGAGGCUGAGGUGGGAGGACUGCUAGGGAACUGCAGGUGGGCUCUGGGUACUGUGAGGUCAAGUCCAGCUUGACCAAACACUCAAGGCAGGGGCGUGAGGUGUGCUGUGCUCCAGCACUCAGCACGCGGCCCGAGCCUUAGUGAAGGCCCAGUCAGAUGGUGACCUAGUCAGCGGGGUCCUCAUGCCAGGCCAGCUGGAGAACAGAGUGGAAACCGAAGGCACAUGGAGAGGCUUGGGCCCAGGCAUGGGCUCCAGGCUCACCUUGGCAUUGUCCAUGUCCUUCGCUGGGGAAGGAGCCGCAGGAGCUGCUGUUGGCCACGUGGCCAGGGCUGGGAUCUGGGGGCAGAGAAGACACUCAGAGGACUUUCCCAGCACGAGGACGAGGACGGGGACGAGGAUGAGGAUGAGGAUGAGGACGAGGACCGGAAGAGGCCAUGGGCACGCCCUCGGAAGUGCCCUGGGGAACACUGCAGAGCCCCGAGGACUGUCCCUGGAGGGAGCAGAGUAGCAAGCUGCAAGAGAACACGGCAAGACACAGGUUGAGGGAACAGUCACCGGGGAUGCAGCCCUCCAUGACUCCUGUGUGGGGGAUUAACGGAUGCUGUCACCACAGUGCACUCUAUUCCUUGCCUGGUUUUUAAAUGAGCGCUCCAUUUUCUCUAAUUCUGCUUCCACUUCACCGAUUCGCCGCCUAAAAAUAAUACUUAGCAGUUAGAAUCAAAUAAAUUCUGAAACA
rnacentral:lncRNA from 1 species